rnacentral:rRNA from 1 species
UACGGAGGAUGCAAGCGUUAUCCGGAUUUAUUGGGUUUAAAGGGUGCGUAGGCGGGAAAAUAAGUCAGUGGUGAAAUCCUACAGCUUAACUGUAGAAUUGCCGUUGAUACUGUUUUUCUUGAGUAUGGUCAAGGAAGGCGGAAUGUGUAAUGUAGCGGUGAAAUGCUUAGAUAUUACACAGAACACCAAUUGCGAAGGCAGCUUUCUGGCCCAUUACUGACGCUGAGGCACGAAAGCGUGGGGAUCGAACAGGAUUAGAUACCCGGGUAGUCCCU